UACGUAGGGGGCGAGCGUUGUCCGGAUUUAUUGGGCGUAAAGAGCUCGUAGGCGGUUUGGUAAGUCGGGUGUGAAAUCUCCACGCUCAACGUGGAGGGGCCACCCGAUACUGCCAUGACUGGAGUCCGGUAGGGGAGUGUGGAAUUCCCGGUGUAGCGGUGAAAUGCGCAGAUAUCGGGAGGAACACCAGUAGCGACGGCGACACUCUGGGCCGGAACUGACGCUGAGGAGCGAAAGCGUGGGGAGCAAACAGG
rnacentral:rRNA from 1 species